rnacentral:rRNA from 1 species
AGUGAACGCUGGCGGUAGGCCUAACACAUGCAAGUCGAACGGCAGCACAGUAAGAGCUUGCUCUUACGGGUGGCGAGUGGCGGACGGGUGAGGAAUACAUCGGAAUCUACUUUUUCGUGGGGGAUAACGUAGGGAAACUUACGCUAAUACCGCAUACGACCUACGGGUGAAAGCAGGGGAUCUUCGGACCUUGCGCGAUUGAAUGAGCCGAUGUCGGAUUAGCUAGUUGGCGGGGUAAAGGCCCACCAAGGCGACGAUCCGUAGCUGGUCUGAGAGGAUGAUCGGCCACAUUGGGACUGAGACACGGCCCAAACUCCUACGGGAGGCAGCAGUAGGGAAUCUUCGGCAAUGGACGAAAGUCUGACCGAGCAACGCCGCGUGAGUGAAGAAGGUUGUCGGAUCGUAAAACUCGGUUGGUAGAGAAGAACGUUGGUGAGAGUGGAAAGCUCAUCAAGUGACGGUAACUACCCAGAAAGGGACGGCUAACUACGUG